CUUAAGUAUUCAAGGAUACAAGAUUAUAUACUAGUUUACUAGGCAGAUAGUCUUGGUACGACUCAAUAAUUAAUGGUCGAGUAUAGUAAUUUUCCUUUAUCAUGUUAUCACUUUGGGAGAUUCAUUUUCCUAAGAAAGUGAAAACGUAUAGUGGGAGGUUUAUGCAAUCCUGCGAUUGCAUAUUCUGCUAGAUAUACAAUGUAUGCUUUUACAUCGUAUAAUAG
rnacentral:lncRNA from 1 species